rnacentral:rRNA from 1 species
AAACCCCUGUGACAUACCAAUUGUUGCCUCGGCGGAUCAGCCCGCUCCCGGUAAAACGGGACGGCCCGCCAGAGGACCCCUAAACUCUGUUUCUAUAUGUAACUUCUGAGUAAAACCAUAAAUAAAUCAAAACUUUCAACAACGGAUCUCUUGGUUCUGGCAUCGAUGAAGAACGCAGCAAAAUGCGAUAAGUAAUGUGAAUUGCAGAAUUCAGUGAAUCAUCGAAUCUUUGAACGCACAUUGCGCCCGCCAGUAUUCUGGCGGGCAUGCCUGUUCGAGCGUCAUUUCAACCCUCAAGCCCAGCUUGGUGUUGGGACUCGCGAGUCAAAUCGCGUUCCCCAAAUUGAUUGGCGGUCACGUCGAGCUUCCAUAGCGUARUAGUAAAACCCUCGUUACUGGUAAUCGUCGCGGCCACRCCGUUAAACCCCAACUUCUGAAUGUUGACCUCGGAUCRGGWAGGGAUACCCSCUGAACUUA